rnacentral:rRNA from 1 species
ACGGGUGAGUAACGCGUGGGAACGUACCUUUUGGUUCGGAACAACACAGGGAAACUUGUGCUAAUACCGGAUAAGCCCUUACGGGGAAAGAUUUAUCGCCGAAAGAUCGGCCCGCGUCUGAUUAGCUAGUUGGUGGGGUAAAGGCCCACCAAGGCGGCGAUCAGUAGCUGGUCUGAGAGGAUGAUCAGCCACAUUGGGACUGAGACACGGCCCAAACUCCUACGGGAGGCAGCAGUGGGGAAUAUUGGACAAUGGGCGCAAGCCUGAUCCAGCCAUGCCGCGUGAGUGAUGAAGGCCCUAGGGUUGUAAAGCUCUUUUGUGCGGGAAGAUAAUGACGGUACCGCAAGAAUAAGCCCCGGCUAACUUCGUGCCAGCAGCCGCGGUAAUACGAAGGGGGCUAGCGUUGCUCGGAAUCACUGGGCGUAAAGGGUGCGUAGGCGGGUCUUUAAGUCAGGGGUGAAAUCCUGGAGCUCAACUCCAGAACUGCCUUUGAUACUGAAGAUCUUGAGUUCGGGAGAGGUGAGUGGAACUGCGAGU